rnacentral:lncRNA from 1 species
UGGGGCUUUACUGCGACCAUGCCCACCAUUUGUGUUUUGUCUGGGUGGUGCUGGUGAGGAGGCUCCAGGGGCAGUAGGCAGGCAAGCAGGAGGGGGGACCCUUGGGACCACCUCUGUUGAACCCGUUCUUUUAUGAUGUAGAAACUGAGGCACAGGGAGAGGACCAUACCUACCUUGGGAGCCACAGUGAGUCGGUGGCACGGUGAAAGUGCCAGCGACUUCCCUGGACAGGUGUUUGUCACCAAACCUGGGUGUCAGGGUUUAGUCCACAUAAGCCUGAGCCUCCUGGGGUGGGCGGGGGCAGUUCCUCUGGACAUCCCACAGUGCUGUCUUGACUUGAGAGUCUUCCACAAUGGCCCCAAACACUCUCUUCCCCCGCUGGGGUUCCGGAGCCAGCAGGCACAUCACACCAUCCUCCUCCCACGAGGAGGUCCCUGAAGCUGCUAGGAGAUCUCAGGAUCCCAGCCCUCCCAAACAGGAGCCUAGCUCUCAAGGAGCCCUAGCCACUGUCCCUGUGCUUCAUGGAGCUACUUAGUAGAAGCCACAUCCCCGGGCACCCUGCAGCUCUCUGGGGCCAUCCUCGAGGCCCUCCAACAAUCCCGACGCUAGGAAGGCUGUGACGUUCCACUGCACCAGACUUCCCAUCCCAUCUCCUGAAGUGAUUUCUCAUCUCAGGGCUCUCAAACCAACAGAAGCUUCAGCCAGCUGUCUGGGAGGGGAGGCAGGGGCCCUGGGCUCUGGUUGGAGGACCCAUGGCUCCGAUCACUGUCCUGGGGAGGUUGCACCUUCGUGUUGGCCUCAAGGGCUUCACCACCUUUCUCUGGUCUUGCAAAAAGAGGGCUUGGCAUGUUCAGCAUCUUCGUCAACUGUCCUCCCCUGUAGUUGGGAAGAAUUCUCAGGGUGUGAACUCAUUGGAAUCUCACCAUAGGCCAGGGAGGGGGGUGCUCUCGGGGGCCGGAGAAAUCCCAGUCUCGAUGCCAGGGUUGACUCCUCAGAGCUGGACUCCUGGAUCUCUGCUCAGAUCCCUCUUCCAUAAACACUGAUCCUGGAGAGACACAGCCAGCUGUCAUGAAGCCCAGACACACACACACUGUCCUCUGGCUCCCCCUCCCCGGGUCUGGGGUAGGACAUCAUUGGGGGCAUCCCUUCCUCUUCUGUCCCCAGCCCUUCCCUAGGUCUCUCAGAGCAGGGACCUGAUCUGACACGAAUCCUGACAUUUGUGAUUAAGGAAGCGCGUUUGCUUUUAGGCUGUUUGCCUGCUGUCCGUGCCGUGUGCGCAUGUACAUUCAUGUAUAUUUCCUGGCAACAUCCGCCUUUUUGUUCUUGGUGUGAGCUGCACCUCCUCACUGGUGUCUGCACAGACCGGCCUGGGAGACUGAGGCAGGGCCAGCCUGACCUGGGACCUUCAGGGACACUGGACUGCCUGGGAGAGUGACGGUGGCCUGUGCAAGGACCUCUGCAGCCAAGCUGGUCUUUUUCACUCAUGCUCUCUCACACACAUGCAGACACUCUCCUGCCACCCUUAUAGAUCAUAAAGGCCUGGAUACACAAGCUGGCCUUUGUCACAGACAUGCUGGCAUCCAUACAUGGGCACACACAUUCACAAACGAAUAUCCAUUUACACAUGCAUGCUCCCGCCACACACAAAUAGACAUGUCUUCACAAUUGCAAACGUCUGGUGAGAAGUCACUGUGUGUCAGGCAUCACGUGAGCACGUGACAUGGAUUGUCUUUUCAACCUCACAGCAACCACAGGGACUCCAUUUUACCGGUAAAGAAACUGAGGCUCAGAGAGGUGAGGUAACUUGCCUGAGGUCACACAGCAGCAAAGCAAACUUAAUUAGAAUCCAGGUCUGUCUACCUCCAAAGUUGAUGAUUACACCAUACUCAUGAGUGUACCUGCCUAGAAGCUACAGCCAGGGUGGGAAGGGGCAUUGUGGAGCAGCCCCUCCUGCCAGGAGAGAGAACACAGGCUAUGGGCCCACUUGCACUUGAAAGGCUGGGAGAGGAGAUCAGAGCUUCCUGCUGGCCCAUUGGCUCACAGGGCUGAGCAGAGGCCCUCCUGGUCUCUGGGAUGCUGCCCAGAGCAGAUGCAUUUGGGGCACAGAACACCUAGGAUUUGGAAUUGGAUUCAGUUCUACCACUUACUCUGUGGCCUCGCCCUCAUUCUAUGAAAUAAAGACAAUGGUAUCUACCUCCGAA